rnacentral:lncRNA from 1 species
GAGGGGUGAGUUCAACCAACUCAGUGAGGGAAUAAUAAUUAAUAUACAUUUUAGAUAUUCUUGAUAUUUAUAGUUCGCAAGAUCAUUUAUCUUGAUAUACAUAUACAUAUACAUACUAAACUUAUCAUAUACAUAUCAUAUACAUACUAAACGUAUCAUCAUAACGUAGUGGACUAUAUGUCAGAGAUCAGAUGACACCCGAAGGUGACCAGAUGACACCCGAAGGUGACCAGACCAGAUGACACCCGAAGGUGACCACUGUGGGAUGAUCAGUCGCCACAGGCUGAUGCCUCUCUCACCAGCUAGGUAUACAUACAGAAUACUAUGUGCACACAGGCUAACUACUCUCCGUUAGCAUGGAGUUACUGACAAGUCCCAUAUCAAGGCAUAAUAGAUAUUCACAUAAUCAUCAAGAAACGUAUAUCAUAUCAAAUAGGAUUUACUUUGACAGAUUGCGAGUGCAAAUUCAAGAAUAAAUGAGUACUCGGAAAAUAAGCAACAUAUAUAAUUAUUCAAGGAAUUAACGAGUUGUACUCAUUGUAUAAUCAACAUACAUAUUUACUUAUCAUAUAUGCAUAUUAAAGAUUAUUCCACUCACCCGGAAAAUAUAGAACUAAAAGGAAUGUCAGACGAAAGACCCGAAAAUCCUAUUGAGGAUCGUUAGGAGAACCUACAACAAUACGAAAAUAUACUCAAAAGCAACUCAAACAAGAGAUCCCAAUGCAUAAAAGAAAACCAGGUUUAGUCUCCUAAGUUUAUGGACUAAAACGAUAAUUUUCCAAAACAGGGACCAAAACGUAAUUUUACCAAAAUUGGACCAAUCUGGAAAAUACAUAACUAUACUGAAUUUUCACCCAUAAACCAUCCUUAAUUCUGUCUAGAACGAACCAGGGACCGAACUGUAAUUUUCAUAAAGUUCAGGGACUAAAAUGUAAAUUCCCGAAAUUGAGGGACCAAACUGAAAAUAUUCCAAAUCAAUUAUCAAACUCAGAUUCAUCAUCCUUAACCUCAUAAUAACACUGUCCAGAAUCUCAAAAUACAAUUAGGGGUCAAAUUAUAAUUUUACCAAAGUUUAGGGACUAAAUUGUAAUUUCACAAAUUGAGGGACCAAAUUGAAUUUUCGUCAUCUUCAACCUCAAACCCAGAAUUUCACAGAUUACCUACUGUCAUCUUCUGAUUUCUAACACAAUUUCACCAUUCAAACAAAAUCAUAACUCAAAAUCAUCAUCUUUACCUCCAAUCUCUCACAAUCAACUAAUUAACCAAUUACCCACAACAAUCAACCCAUAACCUUCCAAUUAAUUCAUCAAUCAAACUCAAAACACAAUAUUCAAAACCCUAACAUUUAUCAAAACAGAACUUAAAGCUUAAAGAACACACAUUUAUACAUAAUCUUACCUUUAAACUUAUUUUCCUCUACUUCUCUCCCUUUUCCCUUCUCUUCCCCUCUUUUCUCUUCUUCUUCUUCCUCCUCCCUUCUCUCUCACGGUUUGCUCCUUCCAUUUUCAGAUCCCUCUUUCUUUCUUCUUCUUUCUUUUAUUUAUAUUUAUCAACUAUUGUUCAAUUACCACAAUACCCCUCAUUUAAUUAUACUUACUUCUAAGCCUCCAAGGGCUUGGUUGCCCUUUCCUACUAAUUUAUUUGCAAAACAUCACAAUCUCCCCACCUUAUAAAAGUUUCGUCCUCGAAACUUAAAAUUUAAGAACCAAAGUCUUACCAUCAUGAUCAAAUAAAUUAUUUAAAACUUAUCUCUAAAAUUGUAUUUCUUAAACUAUCAUUUAAAGUCCACUUAAAAAAAAAAUCAAUAUAUAGCACCAUGCUUUCGUUGCGCACUCUGAUAUAUCCACUGAAAAAAAUAUCUCAUGCAUAACUUUUCUUAAUUCAUAUCCCUCAAAAUCAAACAACACACCCUUCAAUUUCUCUUGAAUCAACUUUUCUCAAAUAACUUAUCUCAAAUCAUAUCUCUUCAAAAAUCAAAACGCAUCCUCAUAAUUUAUUUAUUUUUAAGCAUCAGGUAAAAGAAUUCAGCCUUAUAGUUGGGGAAUGUCAUGAAGUAACAGAGUCUAAUGAACAACAACAAUUAUGAGCUCAAACUUUCAAGAGGUAUCAAUCAUGGAGGAGAUUUCGCUUGCAAAAGCAAUAAGCGAUGAAGAUGAUAAGAUGUAUGUAGUUCUCUCAACCACCAUAACAACUAAAGAGUCAGAUGAAAUGAUAAAGACUAUAAAGGAGGAACAUAGUUGUUGUGACAAGAUUAAGGCAACAAUUAUGGUAAAGAUAACAAAAACCAGCUUGGAAGAAGCUUAGAUGGAUGAAAAGUUGUUAUAUGGUUUCAAUAUUACCUCAAAUGAUAGUGUUUCUCUUGAAAUUGAAGCAAAAACAUGUUUGAUAAGAAAAAAAAAAUCAAAGAUAACAUGGGACUUAAGAUACCCUACUUGAGAACUGAGGAUGCAUAGUAUAAGCAGUUUGGUGUGCUUCCGUCAUCACAUCUCUUUUCAAACCAUCCACCUCAGGCACACAUAACCUGGAACCAAAUCUCAACACACCAUCUUCAUGGAUAACAAAACCCGGAGCUCUCCCUAACUCCAACUCAUCUCUAAUCUUGCAAAGUCGCUCAUCCUUCAUUUGAGCUACUUUAAUUCGGUCUACCAAGUCUGACAUAGCCUGAAAGUGAGCCAACAAUGCUCCCGAUUCACAAAUCUCAAAACUGACCCUCUCAUCUAACAAUCAGUGUAACUCUUUAAUCAAAGGUCUCCUCACCUCCUGAAUAUGAGCCAAACUACCCAUAGAUUUUCUGCUUAAGGCAUCGGCAACAACAUUUGCCUUGCCCGGGUGAUAUUGAAUCGUGCAAUCAUAAUCACUUAACAAUUCCAUCCACCUUUUCUAUCUCAAAUUCAGAUCCUUAUGCUGGAAGAUAUAUUGAAGACUUUUAUGAUCUGAAAAUAUCUCACAUGUCUCCCCAUACAAGUAGUGUCUCUAAAUUUUAAGGGCAAACACUACUGCAACCAUCUCCAAAUCAUGUGUGGGGUAAUUUUGUUCGUGCUUCUUCAACUUUCUCGAGGCAUAAGCAAUCACAUUACCGUUCUGCAUCAAAACACAACCCAAACCAAUCCUGGAUGCAUCAUAGUACACGGUAAAACCACCAGACCCUGAAGAUACUGUUAAAAUAGGAGCUGUAAUUAACCUUUCCUUCAACUCCAGGAAACUCUUUUCACAUUCUUCUGACCAUUGAAACUUGACAUUUUUUUUUUUUUGUCAACUUAGUCAUUGGAGCAGCAAUUCAGGAAAAAUUCUCCACGAAUCUCCUGUAAUAUCAUGUUAAACCCAUAAAACUCCUAAUCUCAGAUAUUGUAACUGGUCUAGGCCACUGCUUAAUUGCCUCCACUUUUUGUGGAUCAACCUCUAUCCUAUUCUUGGACACUACAUGUCCCAGAAACCCAACAGUUUCUAACCAAAACUCACUCUUCAAGAAUUUUCCAUACAACUGAUGAUCUCUCAGAGUUUGAAGCACCAAUCUCAAAUGCUGCUCAUGCUCUUCUCUAGACCUCGAAUACACCAAAAUGUCAUCAAUGAACACAAUAACAAACUUAUCAAUAAACGGCCUAAAAACCCUGUUCAUCAUGUCCAUAAAAGCUGCAGGUGCAUUCGUUAACCCAAAAGACAACACUAGGAACUCGUAAUGCCCAUAACGAGUCCUAAAGGCAGUUUUAGGAACAUCCUCAUUCCUAAUCCUCAACUGGUGAUACCCCGAUCGCAAAUCAAUUUUUGAGAAACAUUGAGCUCUUUGUAAUUGAUCAAAAAGGUCAUCAAUGCGAGGGAGUGGGUAUUUAUUCUUAACAGUGACCUUGUUCAACUGCCUAUAGUCUAUACACAUCCUCAUUGAUCCAUCAUUGGGACCUCUAUGUUCACAUCAUGCACAUAAGCCAAAAACCCAUGCAUACCCUUCUGUACCAUCCUUCUCGUACCAUCCUUCUCGUGAUGGCCGGGAAAAUACUAGAUGGAGAUGAUACUUUAUCUUCAUGAAAAGCAAAUUUGUAUCCUCAUUAGGUUUGAAAGCUAUUAUCUUAUUCCAACAAUCAACUGAGACAUGGUGUCUUGACAACUAAUCCAUACCUAAUAUCACAUAAAAUGCUCACUAUUUCUAAAAGUACCAAAUCACCCAAUUUUAGAUAAGUAUAUUAAUCAACAUAUAGAUCAUAAUCAAAAGCCUAUAAUAACAACCUUCAUAAGUAAUUCUCCAAUAACAGUCUCAUCAUCCAUAACUAAUUAAUCAUAUUUCAACUUUCUCCUGCAUUUAAAAUCUAUAUUUCUGAAAUAAAAAUAUUGCGGAAAGAGAUGAGCGUCCACGACUCAAAAAGUAAUCAAAAUAAACACACCCAGAAAAAUAUUAUCAAACACAAAUUUUUCAUUGAAUAUUGUCAACGAUAUAUAUAUCAUAGAAAAAGAUUAUUAGACAUAUUUUUCAGAAUACUUACCAAAGAUAACACAUAUAGAUAUAAAUAUGAUGUAAAAUCAGAUUUAAAUACAAAAAUACUAUAAGUUGUUCAAUUACUUAAAAGCACAUACUUACAUUCAAUAUACACUCACUAACAUGAUUUGCACAUAUACAUACUUUUAGAGCACUACAAAUCAGAAAAUCAGCUCAUUUACAUAUAUUAUAUAUACUUCCAAAAAAAAUAUAUUUAUACCAAAUACUUAUGCUUAAGUAUUUUCAAGAAAUAUUAUUACUCAAAUACACGUUUUAUGCAAAUACUUUCAAAGAUAUACUUAUAUCAAAUAUUCACACACACAAGUAUAUGCAAAACACGUAUACCACAUAUAUUAUAUCCAAGAAUAUACUUAUAUCAAAUAUUGUCAGCCAUGUAUGAAAAACACAUAUUAUACAUAGUAUAUCCAUUGAUAUAUUUAUAUCAACCAUUCACAUAAUAUAUAUUUCCCCACAUGUAUAUCAACACGGCAAUAAAAAAAAAAGUUCAAAGAAGACAAUGAGGAAUCACAAUAAGACAAGAAGGAUCCUAAGCUCCACAUAUUACAAGUUUUUUUUUUUUUAAAAAAAAGGACCAAGUUUUAACAAAACCAAGCUACAGGGAUUUAACAAGAACCUGGCUCUGAUACCACCUUUGUAACGACCCGAAUCCCGGGUCCAUGACCGGCAACGCAGGAGCGGUGCCGGAAGGACACCCCGCCCGCGCUAAGCCUCAAAACGAACAUAUCAAAAGAAUAAUUUAUUCAAAAAUACGCAGCAUUUCAUAAUCUUCAGAAAUAUUAUAUCCUUCAAAACUGAUGAAACCAAAAGAUAGUUUAAAACUCUUCAUCAGUAAUUAAAACAAAAACAAUAAUCCAUAAUACUCAUUACAUUGUCAAAAAUCCAAACUUAAUUAAAACAAGGUAAUAGUGGAGCGCCUAAGACAUCGAAUCAAACAGCCUUGAAAGAUAAGCAAGGCAUACCGACCCAAAACUGAAGAAGCAGGAACACUCAACAAGGUUCACCUGCUAUCAGAAACUAAGAACCUGAAAUAAUAUUAAGAAUGAGGGGUGAGUUCAACCAACUCAGUGAGGGAAUAAUAAUUAAUAUACAUUUUAGAUAUUCUUGAUAUUUAUAGUUCGCAAGAUCAUUUAUCUUGAUAUACAUAUACAUAUACAUACUAAACUUAUCAUAUACAUAUCAUAUACAUACUAAACGUAUCAUCAUAACGUAGUGGACUAUAUGUCAGAGAUCAGAUGACACCCGAAGGUGACCAGAUGACACCCGAAGGUGACCAGACCAGAUGACACCCGAAGGUGACCACUGUGGGAUGAUCAGUCGCCACAGGCUGAUGCCUCUCUCACCAGCUAGGUAUACAUACAGAAUACUAUGUGCACACAGGCUAACUACUCUCCGUUAGCAUGGAGUUACUGACAAGUCCCAUAUCAAGGCAUAAUAGAUAUUCACAUAAUCAUCAAGAAACGUAUAUCAUAUCAAAUAGGAUUUACUUUGACAGAUUGCGAGUGCAAAUUCAAGAAUAAAUGAGUACUCGGAAAAUAAGCAACAUAUAUAAUUAUUCAAGGAAUUAACGAGUUGUACUCAUUGUAUAAUCAACAUACAUAUUUACUUAUCAUAUAUGCAUAUUAAAGAUUAUUCCACUCACCCGG